GACGAACGCUGGCGGCGUGCCUAAUACAUGCAAGUAGAACGCACAGUUUAUACCGUAGCUUGCUACACCAUAGACUGUGAGUUGCGAACGGGUGAGUAACGCGUAGGUAACCUGCCUGGUAGCGGGGGAUAACUAUUGGAAACGAUAGCUAAUACCGCAUAAUAUUAAUUAUUGCAUGAUAAUUAAUUGAAAGGUGCAAUUGCACCACUACCAGAUGGACCUGCGUUGUAUUAGCUAGUAGGUGAGGUAACGGCUCACCUAGGCGACGAUACAUAGCCGACCUGAGAGGGUGAUCGGCCACACUGGGACUGAGACACGGCCCAGACUCCUACGGGAGGCAGCAGUAGGGAAUCUGCGGCAAUGGACGAAAGUCUGACCGAGCAACGCCGCGUGAGUGAAGAAGGUUUUCGGAUCGUAAAGCUCUGUUGUAAGAGAAGAACGGGUGUGAGAGUGGAAAGUUCACACUGUGACGGUAUCUUACCAGAAAGGGACGGCUAACUACG
rnacentral:rRNA from 1 species